UUUUUCUUUUAGGGGGGUGGGGAACCAGGGUGACUGACAGGGCAAAACAGACAGAGGUGGCGCUACAAUAGGGGCGGGCAGGGGCCGAGGUGGCGCGGCGGCGGUGGCGGGCAGGGGCCGAGGUGGCGCGGCGGCGGCGGGCAGAGGUAGAGGUGGCGCGGCAGCGUCGACCAGGGGCGGAGGUGGCGUGGCGGCAGCCCUGGGAACAGGUGACGCGGAGGGUGGGCAGGAGGAGGUUACCGCACUGGCGGUGGCCCGGCAGGAGGGGACGGGAUCGCCGUGCCGACGGCAACCGUCGUGGCGGCGGCCAAGGGCGGAUGCGUAGGUGGCGGCGAUCAGUGGUGGCUUCGCCCCGUGGUGGAGGGGGAGACGGGGUUCGGGGGGAGACGGGGUGGGGUGCCACGAAAAGUACACGUCCCUAAAAGAGAAGUGGAGGUCUUCGUAACAGGCAGGGCAACGGUAACGGUAGCAACAAGCUGAUGGCGGAGAUGCCAGAGCCCCUAAAGAUAUCUACGCUCCUACCUUUCAACCUCCUCCGUGCUCGCCAACAGUUGCCUGUAACGGGCUUCGAACACGUAUUAAACUACGUACUCCGCGCGGGAAAUCGGCUGGCGUUUAUAUACCGUUGAGUUCCGAUAUUCUCAGAACUAUUCUUUCGGUCAUCCUCUGAGGCAGAACUCUUCCUGUUCAUGUACGUCCAAUGAGGAUCUACCACGCAGCUAUUCCCCCUCACAACCCUCGCCUAGCACCUGAUAACCACAAGGUUUCUCAUAUCCCGCUUUUUGUUUCUAAUAUCUUUAGCCGCUCGGCCUUACGACCUAGGUGGUGUAGUAGUUCCGUUGAACUUGCAAUACCUCAAGCCACUUGCAACCCGCAGAGUGGUAUUACGAGGUCACGGGUUGGAAAAGCAGAGCAUACGAAAUCGGGUAUUCCGUGGCAUGUCUUGUCGGUGCGGAAUGCUACUCUUACUGCGUCGCAGGCGCAUGAGGUCGUUCUGGCGUAUGCUAGCCUACCUCUUUAAAUUUCCCCACCGUUUUCUCAACUUUCCCGGACUCAUACUACACUGUUGUCUCGGAGAACUGGUGCGCAACCAGUACUAGAGACCUCUUCCGUCCUUUGUACCCUUCCUUCGUUAACGUCCUCCGUACAAGGGAUCAAGGAGGGCAUCGAGAGAGGGACUUAUGUUUCGAGCCAAUCCAUAGAGUUUUAGAAGAUGUACAUUUGCGAGCUGAGAUCGAUACCAACUCUACCUCCGGGCUGACCGCCUCCUCUCCGCUCACCGCCGCCUCCUCUCCCGCCUCCUCUCCGCUGACCGACUACUCUCCUGCUCCGUUCGCCACGUCGUCCGCCACAACCGUGUUUGAUCAGUUACGAAACGUUACAAACGCCGAAUAACAUGGGUCUUACCAUACGGGCAAUACGUCUACGGAGUAGUUAGUCCGGUACCUAGAUUAUGACUACCUAGAAGUGUACGUGCUCCGGGUUCGCUGUUGUUGGAACCACCAAGAGGCUUACAAACUCUAGCUCAACGGUGGACCUACGAGAAACCUGAUGCUGUACCUGUACUUCCGUAAACAACAACACGGUUUAGAAUACAUCACUACGGUAGAAACAUGUAACACAUAAUAUACAUACCCUGAUAUAUAUACGACACCUUGAUAUACGAUACGUUUAAACAAAACCCUGAUAUAUGAUACCUUGAAACAGGACACCCUGAUAUACGAUACCUUGAAACAAGUAACAACGAAUAUAAACGA
rnacentral:rRNA from 1 species